GCUGGAAUCGCUAGUAAUCGCAGAUCAGAAUGCUGCGGUGAAUACGUUCCCGGGUCUUGUACACACCGCCCGUCACACCAUGGGAGUCGGAAAUGCCCGAAGCCGGUGACCCAACCAAAGGAGGGAGCCGUCGAAGGCAGGUCUGAUAACUGGGGUGAAGUCGUAACAAGGUAAC
rnacentral:rRNA from 1 species